GAGGAAAAGAAACCAACAGGGAUUGCCUCAGUAACGGCGAGUGAAGCGGCAAAAGCUCAAAUUUGAAAUCUAGCACCUUCGGUGUUCGAGUUGUAAUUUGAAGAUGGUAACCUUGGGUUUGGCUCUUGUCUAUGUUCCUUGGAACAGGACGUCAUAGAGGGUGAGAAUCCCGUCUGAUGAGAUGCCCAUUCCUAUGUAAGGUGCUAUCGAAGAGUCGAGUUGUUUGGGAAUGCAGCUCUAAGUGGGUGGUAAAUUCCAUCUAAAGCUAAAUAUUGGCGAGAGACCGAUAGCGAACAAGUACAGUGAUGGAAAGAUGAAAAGAACUUUGAAAAGAGAGUGAAAAAGUACGUGAAAUUGUUGAAAGGGAAGGGCAUUAGAUCAGACUUGGUGUUUUACGAUUAUCUUCUCUUCUUGAGUUGUGCACUCGUAUUUCACUGGGCCAGCAUCGAUUCGGAUGGCAAGAUAAUGGCAGUUGAAUGUGGCUUCACUUCGGUGGAGUGUUAUAGCUUCUGCUGAUAUUGCCUGUCUGGAUCGAGGGCUGCGUCUUUUGACUAGGAUGCUGGCGUAAUGAUCUAAUGCCGCCCGUCUU
rnacentral:rRNA from 1 species